CAACCAAAGCUGGCGACCGGCGCACGGGUGAGUAACACGUAUCCAACCUGCCUCAUACUCGGGGAUAGCCUUUCGAAAGAAAGAUUAAUAUCCGAUAGCAUAUAUUUCCCGCAUGGGUUUUAUAUUAAAGAAAUUCGGUAUGAGAUGGGGAUGCGUUCCAUUAGUUUGUUGGGGGGUAACGGCCCACCAAGACGAUGAUAGGUAGGGGUUCUGAGAGGAAGGUCCCCCACAUUGGAACUGAGACACGGUCCAA
rnacentral:rRNA from 1 species